CUGAGAAGUACACAUCAAGCACGAGACAGAUGCUGCUAAUACCAAGUAAAAUUGCAGAAGAUAACUUUGAGCAGGGGAUAUGAAGAAGUACUUUAGGACUCCACCAGGACAGAUUGUCAGCACUUCAGGCCUCCGGUACCUGAGAGUGAAAUCAGGGCUUGGACUCUGCCAGGAGGCGCAGCACAGAAAGUCCAGCCGAGGAGGAAAGUAGGCAAAAGGCAAAUAUAAAUUACAUUUGCAACCUCUGGAUUCUAGGCUGCUCUUGGGAGCCAGUGGGGUCAUCAACAUAAAUUAAAACGUGUCACCUUUCCAAGGAUGCCUAUGGGUUGCUCAUCAGUCCAUAGCAGCUCAUAAUCUCCUGUGUGUUCUGUACACUAUGGCUCCACCCACUCCAACCCCAUUAGUCUGCUCUGGCAUGUCCUCUGCACUAGGGAUUGUAGGGAAGGAUUGUAGCCUAUUGUAGGCUUUAGCCCACUUGUGUUUAAAAUGAAGAACUGCUUUUUUUUCCUGCAGUACUUCAUUACUUC
rnacentral:lncRNA from 1 species